UAGUCCUUGUGUUUUUGACUGCAGUGGAAUCGGAUAACGUCAGUUUGGGGCACUUGGCGCCUAACUUGCAAGCUAGCGACGAUGUUAGCACGUCAUUAUGCUUGUGACUGAGGCCAUUAUCACUUAAUCAACCAGCUGCAUUGUUUUGAGUCUGGGGCUGCUUGCUCUUCUGUGCUCUUCUUUUCCAAUAGGCUUAAGAGGAGGGGAAGUAGCGACUUUCUUCAACCUCCAAACACAACUCGGGAUAUGGAGAGUUGCUGAAGGCCAUGUCAUCACUCCUACAAUCACCUGACUCACUUGAUACCAUCAUUUAAGCUGAACUUUGAAACACCAGCAUGAAUCAGGAGAUGGCUGCUUCAAGGAGAUUUGUGCUUCGUGUAUUUGUUGCCACAGAUGUUGCUAUGAAGCUGACUCUAACUGAGCGACCACAGUCAGUUGAAGAACGUUUCAAGCCAAGACUUGAUGGUGAAUUCACAUUGCAGUAUGAGGAUCCUAACUUUGAUGGACAACUAAGCCCAAUAAUUUUGGGCUCUGUCUUACGCUUGUCUCUUAGUUUUCCCUUCUCUCAUUUAAAUAAAGUGUCUAAAAAUGUCACAUUUAUAGUUCGAUGUUUCCUCAAAUCUACAGAGAUUAUCCUGAAGUUGUUGUUUUCUGUUUAGCUUCUGGUUGGCAAGUUUAGGUACAUGUUAUUAUCACAUGAUUAGUCAUGAAUCUGAUUAUUCAAAUCUGGGUUGUUUUUUGUUUGUUUGUUUUUUUGUUUUUUUUUGUUUUGCAGAUUGACUUACUCUAUGAAUUGAUUGAAAAUAUCUCAAUAUAUUGAUAAUUUCUAUAUUGCCAG